AGGGUUCGAUUCUGGCUCAGGAUGAACGCUAGCUACAGGCUUAACACAUGCAAGUCGAGGGGCAGCAUGGGAUUAGCUUGCUAAUCCUGAUGGCGACCGGCGCACGGGUGAGUAACGCGUAUCCAACCUUCCCUUUACUCAGGGAUAGCCCGGUGAAAACCGGAUUAACACCUGAUGGUUUCAUUAGAUGGCAUCUGACGAUGAAUAAAGGCUACGGUAAGGGAUGGGGAUGCGUCUGAUUAGCUUGUUGGCGGGGUAACGGCCCACCAAGGCUACGAUCAGUAGGGGUUCUGAGAGGAAGGUCCCCCACAUUGGAACUGAGACACGGUCCAAACUCCUACGGGAGGCAGCAGUGAGGAAUAUUGGUCAAUGGGCGAGAGCCUGAACCAGCCAAGUAAGCGUGCAGGAUGACGGCCCUAUGGGUUGUAAACUGCUUUUGUACGGGAAUAAAGUGACCUACGUGUAGGUUUUUGUAUGUACCGUAAGAAUAAGGACCGGCUAAUUCCGUGCCAGCAGCGGC
rnacentral:rRNA from 1 species